rnacentral:tmRNA from 1 species
GGCCUUUUGUCGUCGGGGUUUGCCCCCUAUAUUGAGGGUGCCGGUUCGCCGGCUAUGGAAAUAAAUGGCCGUCGUAAUAAACCAUUCGGACCCGGGGGCAGCACCCGGCGCCUCCACCAAAGCCCGGAUUUCCCGGCCUGAAAGGGCGGGUUUUGGCGGGGGCGAAACAGGAUCGACGAGGGCGUAAAGGGCUCGCUUUUUCUCGGUAUGGUUCCGCCGUUAUCGGGCUAUGCAAUAGUUGCAAACGACAACUAUGCUCCGGUUGCUCAGGCUGCGUAACGCAGUUUGAAAAACCAAGUCUAAAGUCCUAGGGGAUUAAGCCCCUCUAGGCGGGGUUCGGAGGCACCUGGCAACAGAAGCCUCCACU